rnacentral:misc_RNA from 1 species
GAUGAAGAACGCAGCGAAAUGCGAUACGUAGUGUGAAUUGCAGAAUUCAGUGAAUCAUCGAAUCUUUGAACGCACAUUGCACCUCUCGGUAUUCCGGGAGGUAUGCCUGUUCGAGCGUCAUUUGUACCCUCAAGCUCUGCUUGGUGUUGGGUGUUUGUUCCGCCUCUGUGUGUGAACUCGCCUCAAAACAAUUGGCAGCCGGCGUACUUGUUUCGGAGCGCAGCACAUUUUGCGAUCCAGAUCAACGUACAGCGGCAUCCAAGAAGCCUUAUUGAACGCUCUUGACCUCGGAUCGGGUAGGGAUACCCGCUGAACUUAAGCAUAUCAAUAAGCGGAGGA